ACCAACUCUCUUGCGCUGCGCACUGCCGUGCGUUUAACCCAGGCGAGGAGGAGGAGGACAAAAUUCUCCCAGAUCCGGGCAGUCUGUUCUUAGGAUGAAGCUUUCACUGAACUGAAGGAAGAGGAAACAACCCUGAAUCCGUGGAGGUCUGUCUGAAUUUGGGGCCCUGCACAAGUACAGGCCUGAUAGAAAAAAGUAAACUGCUCCUGCUCCCAGCAGGUUGGUAUGGGCAUGAUCACCAUCUGGGAACCCUUGGGGGUGAGUGUGGGGGAUCAGAGCAGCAUCUGGGGUCUCUACUGUUUUUCCUGCUCUCCAACAGCUUUCCUAAUGUCCUUAUGCCUCUCAUCUCCCAUUUAGGUGCUGGGAAAUUGUGUGUUGGCAUUGGGUAGGGCCAGCUAGGGAUGAAGGUGUAGAAAACCUUAGACAACCUGGGUCCUGUAUCAGCACACACAGGCCUUGCCAUCUGUGUCUGGGUAGUAGCUCACUCACCGAGCCUUGUUUCUGACCUCUCCUCCAUAGGCCUGGUUAAGCACAAAGUGAGCCAGAGCCUUAAGCUUCAUUUCUGCCCCUUUGUCCCAGGUCCUGCUCGGCUUGCAGUCUGGGCAAAACCUGUGAGCCUGAGUAGAAGUGCCUUGCCCAGACGUGCAAACCGCGUUUAGGCAAGCCAGCUCCACACUGUGGAUCAG
rnacentral:lncRNA from 1 species